rnacentral:rRNA from 1 species
CCUACGGGAGGCAGCAGUGGGGAAUAUUGGGCAAUGGACGCAAGUCUGACCCAGCAACGCCGCGUGAAGGAAGAAGGCUUUCGGGUUGUAAACUUCUUUUAAGGGGGAAGAGCAGAAGACGGUACCCCUUGAAUAAGCCACGGCUAACUACGUGCCAGCAGCCGCGGUAAUACGUAGGUGGCAAGCUUUGUCCGGAUUUACUGGGUGUAAAGGGCGUGCAGCCGGGAAGACAAGUCAGAUGUGAAAUCCCGCGGCUCAACCGCGGAACUGCAUUUGAAACUGUUUUUCUUGAGUAUCGGAGAGGUAAUCGGAAUUCCUAGUGUAGCGGUGAAAUGCGUAGAUAUUAGGAAGAACACCAGUGGCGAAGGCGACUAUCUGGCACAUAACUGACGCUGAGGAGCGAAAGCGUGGGUAGCAAACAGGAUUAGAUACCCUAGUAGUC